AUGUCCACCAUCCCAGUCGCCAAAGCUGUAGCCGCACCGAGUGUGCAAGAGAUAAAGCAAAGCCGCGAGGAACCCAUGGGCGAUCUCAUGGUCGCGGACGUUGAUGCGGCUGCGCGGCCGCCGCCGUCCAAGUCGGACAACCUCUUCAUGCAGAUCGCCGUCCACCCGGACGGUGCCGUCACGCGGCCCGUCGUCCCCACCAUCCCGGCUUCCGACGCCGGCAGCGGGGCGGCCGUCUUCAGCAGGGACGUGCCCCUCGACACCUCUCUUGGCACGUACAUCCGGCUAUACCUCCCCAACCCCGUCCCGUCGUCGACGAAGCUCCCCGUCAUCCUCUACUUCCACGGCGGCGGCUUCGUUGUCUUCAACGCCGACACCGCCUUCUACCACGCCUCCUGCGAGGCCAUGGCGGCGGCCGUACCGGCCAUCGUCGCCUCCCUCGACUACCGCCUCGCACCCGAGCACCGCCUGCCCGCCGCCUAUGACGACGCCGUCGCGGCCGUGAUGUGGCUCCGUGACGUGGCGCCCCAGGACCCCUGGAUCGCCGAGCACGGCGACCUCGCCUGGUGCUUCGUCAUGGGCAGCAGCUCCGGCGGGAACAUGGCGUUCAACGCCGGCGUCCGGACCAAGGGCAUCGAUCUGAGCCCCGUCGCGGUGCGCGGGCUCCUGCUGCACCAGCCGUACCUCGGCGGCGUCGAGCGGACGCCGUCCGAGGAGAGGUCGGAGGACGACUUCAUGGUGCCGCUGGAGGCCAACGACAAGCUCUGGAGCCUCGCACUGCCGCUGGGCGCGGACCGCGACCACGAGUUCAGCAAUCCGGAAAAGGCGGUGGCACAGGAAGCCGUGGUCGGCCUGCCGCGGUGCCUGGUGUCCGGGAGCGACGGCGACCCACUGAUCGACAGGCAGAGAGGGUUCGCCACGUGGCUGCGGGACAGUGGCGUGGAGGUCGUCGCCAAGACGGACGGCUCCGGGUUCCACGCUGCGGAGCUCUUCGUGCCAGAGAAGGCCGAGGAGAUGUUCGCGCUGGUUCGCGAUUUCGUAUCCGCUGGCAGCGAUGCUUGA
rnacentral:rRNA from 1 species